UCCAUUUUCGGGGCUAGUUGA
rnacentral:siRNA from 1 species